rnacentral:misc_RNA from 1 species
GAACAUAUUUGAAUGGCAAUUUGCAAUCAGGGGUCCACGAGAUUCUGAGUUUGAAGGGGGGAUUUAUCAUGGACGAAUUCAGUUGCCAGCCGAAUAUCCUUUCAAGCCUCCUUCUUUCAUGCUUUUGACACCAAAUGGACGUUUUGAAACUCAAACCAAGAUUUGUUUGAGUAUUUCUAAUCAUCAUCCCGAGCACUGGCAACCGUCCUGGAGUGUUCGCACUGCGUUGGUAGCUCUGAUCGCAUUUAUGCCUACCAGCCCAAAUGGUGCCCUUGGAUCACUAGAAUACACAAAGGAAGAAAGGCGUGUUUUAGCUAUUAAAUCUCGUGAUGUGGCUCCAAGAUAUGGGACUCCUGAGCGCCAGAAGCUGAUUGACGAGAUACAUGAAUACAUGCUAAGCAAAGCACCCCCAGUUCCUCAAGCUACUACCUCACCAGCUCCCGAAGAACAGAACAGUAAUAGAGAGGAGGAGGUUCAAGAGAGUCCUGAGAACCCCAGUAACGAGGCUACUGAAGAAAGACCUCCUAAUCCAUCUGUUGCUGACACAACUACUGAAGAAAGACGUGAAUUGGCUUUAGAUGCUGAUCCUGUACAGACACCUAUAGAGCCCCCUGCUGUACGGCCUAAUGAGCAUCGGACAUUGCAUACACCUCAACAGAGCAUUCCGCGGCAGGCUGAUGACCGUUUCUUCACAUGGGCAGCAGUUGGACUUACAAUCGCUAUACUUGCACUUCUGAUUAAGAAAUUCAUGAAAGCUAAUGGACACGGUGCUGUCUUUAUGGAUGAAUCGUAAAUCUGCUAGCAGUAAUUAUGAAGUUCGACAGGGGCAAUUUACUUCACUUACAGCCAAACUUAUGCAGAAAAAUGCAGUAAUUAUGGAGUUCGACAGGGGAAAUUUACUUCACUUUCAGCCAAACUUAUGCAGAAAAAAAUGUACUAUAUUUAUCCUUUUGCUAUUGUGACAUCGAUUAUAAAGAUUGUCCAAUGUGUAAACAUGAUUUACCAGAUAUUAUUUUCAUAGUGUUAUUGUAUAGAAAAACAAUUGUCUUUUCUCUGAGAUGUGAAGAAGUUAAGAUGAAGCAAAGAAACUCAGUUUGACAUUGACUGGUUUCUUUUUUCUUAAUACUCAAAACCAUGUACGUAUGUUGUUCGAGUAAAAGAGUAAUACAGUCGGAUUU